rnacentral:misc_RNA from 1 species
GGUUUUGUAACCAUAUAUAAAAUGAAGAGUAUACAACACUAAUACACGGGAAUUAAUAUAUUACAUAUCAAGAAAAAAAUUUUAGGAAUUCAACUUGUCAAAAUUAUUAGAUUGAUCGGCUUCAUAGAGAAGAAGAUAGCACAUUCUUCAUGAUAUUACGAGCCUUGCACAUUGCCUCCAGUGGCUCAGCCUUAGGCAUGGUGAGUCCAAUUCCUUCAGACAUGUCAAUUUCCUUGUCACUUACCCUUUUCCAGUCAAAGCAAUGAAUCAUAGACCCCAAACAAAGCCCUACAACACGAUUUCCAAGACCCACACCAGGACACGACCUCCUUCCAGAGCCAAAUGGCAAAAACUUAUAAGCCUCGGAUCCUUGGCCUGUUCGACUCUCAAACCUCUCAGGUUUAAACUCAUUUGCAUCGUCCCAAAACUCAGAAUCCCUAUGUAUAGCCCACACAUUAACAAGCAGCAUCGUGUUGGGUUCCACAUGGUAUCCUCCAACACUACACUCUCGGGAUGAUAAAUGUGGAAUAAGCAAUGGACCUGCUGGAUGCAAUCUCAAGGUCUCUGCUAUGAUAUUCUGAAGAUACGGUAGCUUGGAAAGAUCAGAUUCUUCCAUAAAGUGUUCUUCACCAAUCUGUAAGUCCAAUUCAUUUUUUGCUUUCUCCAAAACUUCUGGAUGAUUAAGUAGAUUGGACAUUGCCCAUUCU